rnacentral:rRNA from 1 species
AAUAGAUACCCUGGUAGUCCACGCCGUAGACGAUGAGUGCUAAGUGUUAGAGGGUUUCCGCCCUUUAGUGCUGCAGCUAACACAUUAAGCACUCCGCCUGGGGAGUACGGCCGCAAGGCUGAAACUCAAAGGAAUUGACGGGGGCCCGCACAAGCGGUGGAGCAUGUGGUUUAAUUCGAAGCAACGCGAAGAACCUUACCAGGUCUUGACAUCCUCUGCCAACCCUAGAGAUAGGGCGUUCCCCUUCGGGGGACAGAGUGACAGGUGGUGCAUGGUUGUCGUCAGCUCGUGUCGUGAGAUGUUGGGUUAAGUCCCGCAACGAGCGCAACCCUUGAUCUUAAUUGCCAGCAUUCAGUUGGGCACUCUAAGGUGACUGCCGGUGACAAACCGGAGGAAGGUGGGGAUGACGUCAAAUCAUCAUGCCCCUUAUGACCUGGGCUACACACGUGCUACAAUGGAUGGUACAAAGAGCUGCGAACCCGCGAGGGUAAGCCAAUCUCAUAAAGCCAUUCUCAGUUCGGAUUGGU